UACGGGGGGAGCAAGCGUUGUUCGGAUUUACUGGGCGUAAAGGGCGCGUAGGCGGCGCAACAAGUCACUUGUGAAAUCUCCGGGCUUAACCCGGAGCGGCCAAGUGAUACUGUCGUGCUAGAGUGCGGAAGGGGCUACUGGAAUUCUCGGUGUAGCGGUGAAAUGCGUAGAUAUCGAGAGGAACACCUGCGGCGAAGGCGGGUUGCUGGGCUGACACUGACGCUGAGGCGCGAAAGCGUGGGGAGCGAACAGG
rnacentral:rRNA from 1 species